rnacentral:rRNA from 1 species
CCCAUGUAAAAGAGAGCUUGCUCUUAUGAAGUUAGCGGCGGACGGGUGAGUAACACGUGGGUAACCUGCCCAUAAGACUGGGAUAACUCCGGGAAACCGGGGCUAAUACCGGAUAACAUUUUGAACCGCAUGGUUCGAAAUUGAAAGGCGGCUUCGGCUGUCACUUAUGGAUGGACCCGCGUCGCAUUAGCUAGUUGGUGAGGUAACGGCUCACCAAGGCAACGAUGCGUAGCCGACCUGAGAGGGUGAUCGGCCACACUGGGACUGAGACACGGCCCAGACUCCUACGGGAGGCAGCAGUAGGGAAUCUUCCGCAAUGGACGAAAGUCUGACGGAGCAACGCCGCGUGAGUGAUGAAGGCUUUCGGGUCGUAAAACUCUGUUGUUAGGGAAGAACAAGUGCUAGUUGAAUAAGCUGGCACCUUGACGGUACCUAACCAGAAAGCCACGGCUAACUACGUGCCAGCAGCCGCGGUAAUACGUAGGUGGCAAGCGUUAUCCGGAAUUAUUGGGCGUAAAGCGCGGCGCAGGUGGUUUCUUAAGUCUGAUGUGAAAAGCC